AUUCUCUACAUAUGUUUGCCACUGACCUAAAACCUAUAAAAUAAUAAUAAUGAUAUAAUACUGUAGGAAACCCUGUGCAUACAUAAGGAUCGAAUGUUUGAUAUUCCGUCGACGACCCGACGUAUAAUGUAUUCGUAUGGUCCUGAAGAAGCGUCAGUCUUUGAUGAUGAUUAUGACCUUUUAUUCAAUUCGACAACGGUUAAAGUGCAUGAACGGAAAUAUGAUGACAUAAAUUAGACCCACCUUUUCCCAAUAGGAAUGCGUCUCCCGGUGAAACCGAUCGAUGUUAGA